rnacentral:rRNA from 1 species
AGCGAACGCUGGCGGCAGGCCUAACACAUGCAAGUCGAACGAAGCCUUCGGGCUUAGUGGCGGACGGGUGAGUAACACGUGGGAACGUACCUUUUGGUUCGGAAUAACGCAGAGAAAUUUGCGCUAAUACCGAAUGAGCCCUUCGGGGGAAAGAUUUAUCGCCGAAAGAUCGGCCCGCGUUGGAUUAGGUAGGUGGUGUGGUAAAGGCGCACCAAGCCUACGAUCCAUAGCUGGUCUGAGAGGAUGAUCAGCCACACUGGGACUGAGACACGGCCCAGACUCCUACGGGAAGCAGCAGUGGGGAAUCUUGCGCAAUGGGCGAAAGCCUGACGCAGCCAUGCCGCGUGAAUGAUGAAGGUCUUAGGAUUGUAAAAUUCUUUUACCAGGGACGAUAAUGACGGUACCUGGAGAAAAAGCCCCGGCUAACUUCGUGCCAGCCGCCGCGGUAACAC